UCCAACGACCAAGCUCCCUUCUUUCCCUCAUUUCGGUUUCAAAAACCUGAAUUAGGGCUUUUCUUCCGAUUUUCUUCAUCAAUUAUCCUCCCGUUAUUCUUGAGUCAUAUAAAACAUUAACAAAAAAUAAUAAUUUCUAUAUUCAAUCCCUUAAAUUCAUACCCGACAAUCAAUUUUAUGCGUUACAUUCAUAUAACAAACCCUUGGAAUGUUCGGCUACAUACGUCUCAAGAGAGGUCAUCAUCUUCCCAGAUUUUUGUUAGUCUAUUUGAGAAAAGAGUUGCCAUCUAUUUCAGGUAAGUGGGUCGUGGGAAGUUCGUAUUUCAGAGCUUCUACUGAUAUUGUUGUGGCAAUCAAAAAGAGGCAAACACUAUCAUUAUCGCUAUUUACUUUCAAAGGACUAUGGCUUUUUUAAUGGAUGUAAAAAUCAAAGUUAUAAUUUAAGAACCCCUAGAAUGGAUGAAUUUGUGACAAGCUUCCUGGUAAAAAGAUACUGAAGAUUCGAUGAACAUUAUCACAUUAUUGAUGAGUUUCACAGUGAAAACCAUCUAAACUUCCUCAGUACUUCCUAAGUAUCCCUCAUAUCGUCUCCUGCAAGGUUGAUUCAGGGUUUGAGGUCCUAUUGCGCCUAUAAGAUCAUUGGGUCCGUCCAGGUCACAAGAGUUUGAUUGAAGAUUUUAGUUCUCUUGCGUCAAGGUAAGUUUAUCUAUUUGUUGCGGUGAUUUGUUCUUCGAUUUAAUUUUCAAUGUGAACAGAUUUUGGGAACUAAAUAUGUUCGAUGUUGAGAGUUAUUUCAUGUAUAAGCAUGUCAAAAGUGUUUUUUGGGAAAAGUCACAAGCUGCUCGCAGAUAUCACCUUUACAUUCUAAUUAGGAUAAUCUCCCACUAUUACGAGUUCCUUAUAUGCAUUCUUGGUAUUGGAUACUCACAAAUACAGAUCAGGAUAUAACAAAAUCUCCCAUUUACCA